AACGAACGCUGGCGGCAGGCCUAACACAUGCAAGUCGAGCGAGAUCUUCGGGUCUAGCGGCGGACGGGUGAGUAACGCGUGGGAAUAUGCCUCUUGGUACGGAAUAGCCUCGGGAAACUGGGAGUAAUACCGUAUGUGCCCUUUGGGGGAAAGAUUUAUCGCCAAGAGAUUAGCCCGCGUUGGAUUAGGUAGUUGGUGGGGUAAUGGCCUACCAAGCCGACGAUCCAUAGCUGGUUUGAGAGGAUGAUUAGCCACACUGGGACUGAGACACGGCCCAGACUCCUACGGGAGGCAGCAGUGGGGAAUCUUAGACAAUGGGGGCAACCCUGAUCUAGCCAUGCCGCGUGAGUGAUGAAGGCCUUAGGGUUGUAAAGCUCUUUCAGCUGGGAAGAUAAUGACGGUACCAGCAGAAGAAGCCCCGGCUAACUCCGUG
rnacentral:rRNA from 1 species